GAUGAAGAACGUAGCGAAAUGCGAUAAGUAAUGUGAAUUGCAGAAUUCAGUGAAUCAUCGAAUCUUUGAACGCAUCUUGCGCUCCUUGGUAUUCUGAGGAGCAUGCCUGUUUGAGUGUCAUUAAAUUCUCAACUACACUGACUUUGAAUUGGUGUGGCUUGGAUUUGGGGGGAAAAUUGUUGUGGGCUUUUUGUAUAGUCUGCUCCCCUGAAAUUGAUUAGCGGUACCUUUGUGGAACUGUCUACAGGUGUGAUAAUUAUCUACAUCUUAGACAUCUGCUGGAAUGCUGCUUUCUAAACCUUACUUGUAUUGACAAUCUUGACCUCAAAUCAGGUAGGACUACCCGCUGAACAUAAGCAUAUCAAUAAGCGGAGGA
rnacentral:misc_RNA from 1 species